rnacentral:rRNA from 1 species
GACGUAGGGCGCGAGCGUUGUCCGGAAUUAUUGGGCGUAAAGAGCUCGUAGGCGGUGUGUCACGUCGGCCGUGAAAACCUGCAGCUUAACUGUGGGCGUGCGGUCGAUACGGGCAUGACUGGAGUUCGGCAGGGGAGACUGGAAUUCCUGGUGUAGCGGUGAAAUGCGCAGAUAUCAGGAGGAACACCGGUGGCGAAGGCGGGUCUCUGGGCCGAUACUGACGCUGAGGAGCGAAAGCGUGGGGAGCGAACAGG